CCAGUCGCACCUCCCGCUUCGGCAGCUCGAACUUCUGCGUCCCUGCCACGCCGUAGAUCUUCGCCGCGUCCGGCGACAGAUCCUCGAUCAGCCGCGCCACCUCCUCCUCGUGCUCCGCCGCCGUAGUUAUCGUCAGGACCCGGGUUGUUGAUUCGGGCGUGCAAUGCGUACCUCCUUGGGUGUUCCGAGGCACUGAAAGUUUCCACUGACGAAGAUGCCGACACGAGUUUAUCGCAUCUUGUCGAUGAAGAUGGUGGACAACUGAAGGAAAUGUGGGGAUGUACAAUAAGAGGGGAACUGAUUACUUGUGAGGAUGAUGGUGCAUUCCUUCUUUGCUCGCUUGAUGACGUUCCACAGAUCAUUCCUGGAUGCCGUGUCCAAUCCGGUGCUCGGUUCGUCCAUGUACACAACCUGAUCGAUCACAGAGAAAAUGGUAACUGUUAUCUGUGAACUUCUCUGAAAUGCUUUGUGGAAGGAAUGAAGAAAUGGUUGUGGGAAGCACUUUAGGAUUGCCGAUGAGUGCGAUGGCGACACUGAGCCUUCUUUUCAUGCCACCACUGUACUUGUUUACAGAUUUGUCGCCGAAACCGCAGUGGAAAAGAUUUACGCUCUUCAGGGAUUCUUCUACUGCCUAGAUCAAGAGACAUCUGAUGAUAAAACAGUUGCAAUAAGACUGAUAGUAGCAUCAGACAGCUUGUAGUAAGACUCUGUAAAGUUGAUAUUCUAAAUUAUAGAUUAUUUCUUAGUUCAUGGUUUUAAA